rnacentral:ribozyme from 12 species
UUCCAGAAAUGAUUCAAAGCACUGAAAAUGGUUGAUACAUCCCAGGAUACAUUGAAUAAUGUGUCUGUAUUUUUUUAUUUCACCUAAAAACUCAUCUUUGUCACAUUUUUUUUUUUUUUUCUGAUUUUCCUACUUUCUGAUAUGCUAAAUUUGGGUGCUG